AGACAUUACACGAUGAUCUACUGUCUGGAAAGAUCCGCUCCAACAGAAUGUUCCUUUGGAGGAAUCCCGCCACCUCACUCCGACUAAAGCAGCAUCUUAAGAUAAGGACACUAAGUUGGAGUGAGCAGCGCGUAAGUAAAAAUGCCAUCCAUCAUGAGUAUUUUUACUCUCAGGGGUGUUACAUUUGAAAGGUGUUUACUUUCUGUGUUUUUCUUCAAUAGAUGUUCGAGCUCCUGCGGUUCAUUGAGGUGGCAACAAACAUUUCUAAAAAAAUAAAGAGAGGCGAGAUUUAUCUGCUUGAUUUCGUUUUUGACGUCAUGCUCCCAGAGGUGAGUAGAUCAAACUAUAUAGCUUGCUUUGAAAAUUGAUGAUAUUGUUAAGAGGUUGUUCUUAUUCAUUUGGAAAGCUCAAGAACAACAAUUAACCCAUACUGCAUAACUUCAAUUGUUCACAUUAUUUGACUGUUUUUCAGCUUUUGAUCAAAGCACUGAAGGAGCAUGGCAUCAACCGGUUCAGAGCAGAGCUGAUGAUGGCCUGUGGCAACGUGUUUUAAGCCCCCCACCACACCGACGGCAGUGCUGAAUUUUGUAUAUAUAUAUAUAUUUUUUUUUACUGUUCACAAUUUUGUUUG
rnacentral:lncRNA from 1 species